rnacentral:rRNA from 1 species
GACGAAGGAUGCAAGCGUUAUCCGGAUUCAUUGGGUUUAAAGGGUGCGUAGGCGGUUUUGUAAGUCAGUGGUGAAAUCUCAGAGCUCAACUCUGAAUGUGCCAAUGAUACUGCAGGACUUGAGAGCAGUCGAGGUAGCUGGAAUGUGUAGUGUAGCGGUGAAAUGCAUAGAGAUUACACAGAACACCAAUUGCGAAGGCAAGUUACUAGACUGUUUCAGACGCUGAUGCACGAAAGUGUGGGUAGCGAACAGG